UACGUAGGGGGCGAGCGUUGUCCGGAAUGACUGGGCGUAAAGGGCGUGUAGGCGGUCGAUUAAGUCUGGAGUGAAAGUCCUGCUUUCAAGGUGGGAAUUGCUUUGGAGACUGGUUGACUUGAGUGCGGAAGAGGUAAGUGGAAUUCCCAGUGUAGCGGUGAAAUGCGUAGAGAUUGGGAGGAACACCGGUGGCGAAGGCGGCUUACUGGACUGUAACUGACGCUGAGUCACGAAAGCGUGGGUAGCAAACAGGAUUAGAUACCCUGGUAGUCCCUGA
rnacentral:rRNA from 1 species